GUGAUGCAUCUCUUCCAGCGAGGAUCUUGGUGGAGAGCCAGGGCAGCCCUCACAGGUGCAGCUCAUUGGCCUCAUCAGAGUGCUGGAGAUAAAGGAGCAGCAGAGCCUUCACUCAGUGCUGGAUGAUUAACGUCUAUUGGUUAUUUUUUGUCGCUGGUGCUUCCUAGAAGGAUAAAUUUUGUCACCAACUCCAUCUGUGUGACCACUCUGCAAGUGCCUGCCUGCUCGCUCCAUUGCCCUCUCAUCUCACUCCACCCAACUUCCGGAUCUCGGACUCACCCCAGGAAGUUCCACCUACCGCUCACCACACAGGACCCCUGAGCACUAUUCUCCAACACUUUAACCAAGAGCCUUCAAACGCCAGGCGCCAAGGAUUACAUGACUGAACCACUCCCAGAGACACCAAGGAAGCCUGUCUCGCUGUUUGUUCUUUAAAAGAAAUAAACUAAUUCU